rnacentral:misc_RNA from 1 species
GAGAUAUUAUACGCCUGCCGGCUUAUGUAUGUAUAAGGCUGCCACAAUUGCAUAAUUUAUGAUCUAUAUCACACAUUGAUCAAUCAAAGAAAGAUUCAACAACUAAAAGAAAGAUCAAUUCUUUGGGAUCCUUCCUCGAUCCAAUUCCUCCACCACCGCGAACUCUAGUUACAUGAUAAAUUUUUUAGUUAUUGGGAGAACCCAAGUACUCUCUUUCAGAUCCAGGAAAAAUCUUUGAGAGUUCAUCAAGGAACAUAAGAAUAAAAUAACAAAAUUUCACUAACUUAAUCCAAUCUUACACAUACUACAAUUUGCAGAACCAUGAUUCUCCAAGUUGUCUCGUAUAACAUCACAACAAGAUCAUUUCACUUUUCAUCUCACCGACGCUUGUAUAAACAAGGUUUCAACUCUGGCCAUUCAAUUUCUUUCCUCUUUGAACUUUGCUUCUCCUUCUUUCGGAAGUAUAACAAAAUAAACAUUUUAUUCGAGAAAUCCUUGAGCAUUGAAGCAAAUCCAAGAUCUGUAACGGCUUUUGAAAACUUAUUUGGAUCAGCUCCUCCAGUGUUUGGGUCAAAUCUGCUCUUCACCUCUGCUAUCAAUAGCCAACCAUUUGGCUUAAGAACUCUGUGUGCUUCCUGAAGGUAACUUGGAAAGUUAGUGCCCAUCAAUGAGAGGCAAAAGACUGCAACAUCUACAGAUGAGGCGUCAAGGGGUGUCUGCCAGAAAUACCAGUAUAUGAUCAAUAAUGAAAACCUGUUAUAACAGGUAUAUAGACAUUCUGCGACAAAAGAUUUUGAUCUCAAAGGAUCUUUGCCAUUGAUCCAUGCUAUUUUAUAUAACCAUCAAAAGCAACAUAAACAAGUCACAUACAUUUGACAUAUCACAAGCAAUUACUGAAGGGUCCUUGGAUACAAGAUCAAAAGAGAAAACUUUAUUCUUCACAUUUUUUGCGAGGCGUGCAUCUCCUGGAACACAAGGAGGAAGAAGAAAUUGACAAAACAACCAAAGAACUAAUCAGCGAGUAGUACACACACAAACACACAAUUUACAAAUAUGAGUCCGGUAAUUACUGUACAACCUAGAAAUAGAAACUGGAAUUAGGCAAAAACUCACCACAGCCAAAAUCAGCCACAACUAAAGAACUGCGAUCUUUUAGCCAAUUUAUGAUUAUAUUUACCGGCUGCUCAGGCCAAUGUGACAUUUGUUCUUGGUAUCCAGAAUGAUACAUAUCAAACAAGGAUGGGUCUUCCUUGAAGUAGUUAAGGGCCUCUUCUCCAGUGCAAGUGUAGAGCUUUUCAUUAAGCAUGCGGAAAUGUCCCCCUGAUAACCUCGCUCGCAUCUUGUCAAGGAAAGAGGAUGACUUUGGCUUCUUCGAAGAAGAAGGAUUUUCAGGUUCAGGUUCUUUAUGAAUUUGGGUGGCGUUGUUAGAUGGAGUAGGUUUAUGUUGAUUUUGUGAUUUUACAUGCUUGAAUCUCUUGCGUUUUCUGCUUUUUUCUUCCUUCAUAGCUUUCCUCCUCCUCCUCUGUGCAAAACCCUAAACCCUCUAUCAAGCUUCUUUGCUCUGUCUACG